GGCUGCGGCGUCUGGGCAGCGCGAGGGCCUCAGUCCGCGGAGCCGGUGAGUGCGCCCGGGAGAGGCGGCCUGGGCAGUCCCAGGGCAGGGCCGCCCACCGCUGUGUGCGCCGCGCCCGGGGCUAGGAGCCCGCUCGCUGGUCCCCGAGCCCCAGCGUCUCUUCGCCGACCGCUCCCAAGUUCUCGACGCGGUGGGUUGGCCUUUAUCACACAGCGGGUCUGCGAUGCUCCCCGCGCAGCCCCGCGGUCUGCAGGGCACGCCACGCGCCGCUUGUCUGCUUGGACUGAGAUGACAGCUGAUGUCAGUUCCUGAGAAGGAAGGGGAAACUGAUGCCGCCGAACGUUGUUUUGCUGGAAUCUAUUAUAUUGCAUGCUUGAAAAUAGUCUGAUAUAAAGCAUAAUGAAACUGGAUGUCCAAAAACACUCCUUAAAUCGUCGGUAAAUGUACUAGUGGAACUAAAGCAUUUACUAGACUACAUGAUGUCACUCUAAAGACUACUUGCUCGUGCACUGCCACUCUGUUACCAUAGCCUUAAGUGCCUUGCUGCACAGUUCCCUGUCACUGUAACUACUGUACUGACAGGUCUUCACCUUCUCCCACCAUCAGAAUGGCAUUGAUAGGGAUGACUCCAAAGGCUGUUCCCGAACGGGGAUGACUGCUCAGGCCCAGAGUUCCGCUAGAUGAUUUGUACCUUUCCACCUUUGCUCUAUACACUAAAUAUGUUAUGUGUGCUUUUAAAUCUUAGAAAACAAAAAAAGCGUGCCAGGCCCAUGGAAGAUAGGAAGCCUGGAAAACUUACAGAUUGGAAGGGACUAAGGAAAAAUAGCUAAAUGCAAUUUAGGAUCCUAUAUCAGAGAAAGAGUGUUACUGAAAAAUUACAAGAUGUGACUAAUUUGGGUUAAUCGCACCGAUGUGCAUGUCCUGGUUUUGAUAAUUGUACCAUGGUUAUAUGAAAUAUUAACAUUCGGUAAGCAGGGUGAAUGGCAUACAGGAAUUAAGCAUGUACUUCUUUUGCAACUUUUCUAUAAUUCUAAAAUUAGUGUAAAUUUAAAUAUUUUAAUAGAAAAGUAAACACUAGAAACCUUUUGUUUACUCAUUUAUUAAAUAUUUAUUUAGUCCCUACUAACUGCUGGGCCCUGGGCAUUGAAAAUAGAAAGGUAAAAAAUCAGACUGUAUUCCUGACUUCAUGAAGAUGUUUGAAGAUGGCUUGCUGAAUGGAUAAUUACAGCGAUAAAAACUGCCACUUGAAAAACUGGUAAUUGAGGGAUCUCACCUGGUCUGUGAUAUCAGAAUCUUUCCUGAUUUAAUCUGAGACUUGAAAAAUGAGUAGAUGGCAUAAAAAUAUUUUCAAACUAAACAUAUGAGGUUUUAUCUGGGGUUCACAAUGGACAUUAAAUCUUCCUAUCAAGAUUUAUAGCAAAAAAAAAAAAUAUUUAACUUUGUUGAAGCCAGCAUUUUCCAAAUUUGAUAUGCUCUCUUUUUGUGAGUAACAGGCAGUGAGAUACUAUUUAACACACUUUAGAAACGUCACCUCAGUAAUCUCGGGAGUCCUUUUCUUAUGUAUAAAGGAGAAAUCCUGUUCUGCCUAACAGUUAUUGGGGUUUUUUGGUAUGAGAUGCAUGGCUUUGAGGUGACUGGGUCUGAAACUUAAGGGUAUUUUUAUUAAGUUCUCUCUGGCUUUUCUGACAGUGGGAUUUUUUCAGAGCUGUGAAAUUUGAAUCUAGCCCCUAAAGUGUUUUGUGAAAUGUUAAUCUUAACACCCCCCUAUCCCAGGCAGUGAAUGGCUACCUUAUUUAAUAGAGCCAUUCUACUAGAAUUGCAUUUUUCUCUCUUUUAAAAAAAAAAUGUUUUCUUCAUGAUUAUUAGCAAAUGAGUGCAUUUCACUCUGUGGCUGUAAUGCCUGUUUUUCCCCCUUAAGGGGAAGAAACUGUUCUUUGUGAAAGAGCAGGACAAGGAAGAGGCAAAGGUAGGACUGAGGCUGAAUAUCUUAAGAGUCGGAUCAUCUGUACCUCCCUGCUUUUUGUAAUGUGCAAAUUGGAAAUUCUGAGUGUGCUUUUGAUUCUUAAAGAUUGCCACACCUAGCUGUGCUCUGUCUUUAUGAAUGAAGAGUUUGCACUUCUCUUUUCAGACUCCUUACGUCUUUAGCUAAGACUUCUGAGUUUCUUCUGUGACUUUGAUGGGUGUUGUAGGUGCUUGACCUGCAACUGUAUCUUACAAGAUCCUACCAAGGGACAGAUAUGAGUCUCAUAGCAAAGUCCCCACAUAUGGUUGAGUAAUAACUAUCUUCAGGAGCCUCUGCAUCUAGCUCUGCAUGAACAAGGCAAGAUCCCAAGGGUGGAUGUUGCUAAGAAUCAAAAAUCAUUGGCUCCUGAUUCUCAGCCACCUCAGAGUGGCGUUACUCAUACGUAAUGUCCCUAAAAUCACUUUUAAAGACAGGCUAGGAUACUGAAACUGCUGGCACUGGUGCAUCUCCUGACUGGAGAGGCUAUUCCAGAAGAGUCAUCACCCAGGAGCUGCAAAUAGGUGCAGUAGUAGCUCUGGUGAGAAUGGAACACAGAUACCUGAAGGAAGGAGAGUACAACCUCCCUUGUGUACUCAGAGGCCUCCUGAGAGCAGAGGAGCAGGUCUCUGUAGUUUGGGCUGAAUUUAACACUUGGGGAGAUCAAGAUAAGACAAGUCCUCAAUGUGUGUUUUCUGCCAUCACCUCAUCUAUUUUACAUCCACAGUUAGAAUCACUUGGCACUGUCAGAAUUUUGAGUGCUGUUGCCUAUCGUCAAGGAUGCAAAUAACAGUAAUUGCUGGCAAGGAUGUGGGGAAAAGGGUACAGAGGAGAGGAAAAGGGAAGGUACUAGGGAAUGAGACUGAUCAAGUUAUGAUAUACACAUGCACAAAUAUGACAUAAUAAACCCCACUAAUUUGUAUAAUUAUAAUGCAUCAAUAAACAAAUAAGAUUUUUAAAAAACUGCUGCCCAGGCCUCCUGCAUACCAGUGGGUUUCUGGAUCUGUGAGAGCAGGAGCUGGGCACUGGCAUCCUGUUAAAUGUCUCCAAGUGUGUGGUUGGGGUCAAGAACCACUGAGCUCCCCACCUGCCACACAAGAAUGCCAGCCUCCAUCCUUUCCCUCCUUCCCAGUGGCUGUAUGCCAGAGGAAGGAAGUCCUGUGUCGAGUUCCCCAGGGUCAUGGAGGAGCAGGGAUACCAGGGUCCAGCUGUUGUUGAGGUCCUCUCUAUGAGCUGUCUGCCAUCCCAACACAAAGGCCCCAAGGUUUAAAUUUAGCCCCAGUAUUAUAUAUUAACAGGGUGGUUCUACUCUUUUCCCAGUGAUGCCCUCUCUGAAGGCUGUGCUUUCCCAAGAGGGGUGUGGGGAGGAGGAAGUGAACUAUGGAUCACAGACAGUCAGGUCCCAGGUAAGUCCCAUUUCCUCUCCUCUCAAAUGCUGUUAUAGUUCUCAUUGAUCAUUCCUUUCUCUGUGGCUGGAACAUUCUCUUCUGGGCUGCAGUGGUAGAGCACUUGCCUAGCAUGCACGUCCGGAGUCAGUGCCCAGCACCAUAAAGUCUUUACCUCUGUUUUGAAAUGUACAGUGUUAACUGUAUCCAUCCCAUGGUCCAGUGGAACACCAGAAUUCCUUCCUCCCGUUUACUGUGACAGCACUCAUGACCCAGUCCUCCCAUCUGCCCCUCCCCUCUCCGCCUCUAGUAACCACUGUUCCCUGUGCAGUCAGCUUUUAUAUGUUGAUCAAAAAUGAAACAACACUUUAAAAAAAUAAUGAGGAAGCUGUGUCCUGUUAGGUCUGAGAGGGAAAGAUCUCCGAGUCCGUUAUUAAAUUAAAAAUAGUGUUUAAAAUAUGUUACUUUAGAAUUAAAAAAAAAAAACAGGAAAUAAUCUAUAUUCACAUUUGCUUAAAGAAAAAUUCUGGAAAGAUACAUUGGAAACUAAGAACAAUUCUGAUCUAUUGGGAAGUAGAAGCUGGCCAAAGAGAGAGAAAUCUGAAAAAAAGACCCUGCUUUAUUAUGUAUUUUUUAUAUUUUUGUUACUAUGCCGUAAUAAUAUAUUACCUACCCAAAGAUAAAAUUCAUUAAGGAUUUGGAAGAAAGAAGAACUGGCUCACCAGAUGUAGGGUUGCCAGUAGAAGGUGUGAAAGGGAGGAAAAGCUAGAAGCAGGGUACUGACCCCAACAGCCACAGUGGAGCUCAGCACACCAGAGGCCCUGAGCCCAAACUCUAAGACCAAAAAAUAAAAAUACAUAGUGUAGGCCUGGGUCCCUUGUGGACACAGCUUCUGGUGCUGCCUCAGAGAAAGGCUGGCGAGGGAAGCACCCAGAAGGAAAGAAGGCAUCUGUGUGGUGUGACGGGAGCACAAGCUCUGGAACAGGCGCUAAGGAGGAAUCUGCCAAUUUAUGUCCUUGGAUGAAUUGUUUGAUUACUUCUAGCCUCAGUAAGUCAUUGAAUUGAAAUAUACUUUAGAAAGAUGAAUCAUCAAGACAUGAAAAUUAAAUAAAAUCACAGUCAUAUAGCUAACUUGUGGGAGAUGCAUUUGUUUGUACCCUAAAGUGGGGAGCAUUGCAGGUGGAAGGAGGGAUAGAUCUCUGUAUUAGGAGGGGGUUACCAGUGUCUGGCAAAAGAUGGCUUACAAAACAUUGGUGCUGGAGGAAUUUGGAGGUUGCCCUUUGUAUUUUAAAUCCCUGCCUGAAAGGAGUCAAUUUCUUUUACCAACCCCAACUUGGAUCCAUGACUUCUACCCCCACUUUGUCUGCCUUUGUUGCUUUUUUUUUU
rnacentral:lncRNA from 1 species